GGUUAAGCGACUAAGCGUACACGGUGGAUGCCCUGGCAGUCAGAGGCGAUGAAGGACGUGCUAAUCUGCGAUAAGCGUCGGUAAGGUGAUAUGAACCGUUAUAACCGGCGAUUUCCGAAUGGGGAAACCCAGUGUGUUUCGACACACUAUCAUUAACUGAAUCCAUAGGUUAAUGAGGCGAACCGGGGGAACUGAAACAUCUAAGUACCCCGAGGAAAAGAAAUCAACCGAGAUUCCCCCAGUAGCGGCGAGCGAACGGGGAGCAGCCCAGAGCCUGAAUCAGUAUGUGUGUUAGUGGAAGCGUCUGGAAAGGCGCGCGAUACAGGGUGACAGCCCCGUACACAAAAAUGCACAUAUUGUGAGCUCGAUGAGUAGGGCGGGACACGUGAUAUCCUGUCUGAAUAUGGGGGGACCAUCCUCCAAGGCUAAAUACUCCUGACUGACCGAUAGUGAACCAGUACCGUGAGGGAAAGGCGAAAAGAACCCCGGCGAGGGGAGUGAAAAAGAACCUGAAACCGUGUACGUACAAGCAGUGGGAGCACGCUUAGGCGUGUGACUGCGUACCUUUUGUAUAAUGGGUCAGCGACUUAUAUUCUGUAGCAAGGUUAACCGAAUAGGGGAGCCGAAGGGAAACCGAGUCUUAACUGGGCGUUAAGUUGCAGGGUAUAGACCCGAAACCCGGUGAUCUAGCCAUGGGCAGGUUGAAGGUUGGGUAACACUAACUGGAGGACCGAACCGACUAAUGUUGAAAAAUUAGCGGAUGACUUGUGGCUGGGAGUGAAAGGCCAAUCAAACCGGGAGAUAGCUGGUUCUCCCCGAAAGCUAUUUAGGUAGCGCCUCGUGAAUUCAUCUCCGGGGGUAGAGCACUGUUUCGGCAAGGGGGUCAUCCCGACUUACCAACCCGAUGCAAACUGCGAAUACCGGAGAAUGUUAUCACGGGAGACACACGGCGGGUGCUAACGUCCGUCGUGAAGAGGGAAACAACCCAGACCGCCAGCUAAGGUCCCAAAGUCAUGGUUAAGUGGGAAACGAUGUGGGAAGGCCCAGACAGCCAGGAUGUUGGCUUAGAAGCAGCCAUCAUUUAAAGAAAGCGUAAUAGCUCACUGGUCGAGUCGGCCUGCGCGGAAGAUGUAACGGGGCUAAACCAUGCACCGAAGCUGCGGCAGCGACACUAUGUAUUGUUGGGUAGGGGAGCGUUCUGUAAGCCUGUGAAGGUGUGCUGUGAGGCAUGCUGGAGGUAUCAGAAGUGCGAAUGCUGACAUAAGUAACGAUAAAGCGGGUGAAAAGCCCGCUCGCCGGAAGACCAAGGGUUCCUGUCCAACGUUAAUCGGGGCAGGGUGAGUCGACCCCUAAGGCGAGGCCGAAAGGCGUAGUCGAUGGGAAACAGGUUAAUAUUCCUGUACUUGGUGUUACUGCGAAGGGGGGACGGAGAAGGCUAUGUUGGCCGGGCGACGGUUGUCCCGGUUUAAGCGUGUAGGCUGGUUUUCCAGGCAAAUCCGGAAAAUCAAGGCUGAGGCGUGAUGACGAGGCACUACGGUGCUGAAGCAACAAAUGCCCUGCUUCCAGGAAAAGCCUCUAAGCAUCAGGUAACAUCAAAUCGUACCCCAAACCGACACAGGUGGUCAGGUAGAGAAUACCAAGGCGCUUGAGAGAACUCGGGUGAAGGAACUAGGCAAAAUGGUGCCGUAACUUCGGGAGAAGGCACGCUGAUAUGUAGGUGAAGUCCCUCGCGGAUGGAGCUGAAAUCAGUCGAAGAUACCAGCUGGCUGCAACUGUUUAUUAAAAACACAGCACUGUGCAAACACGAAAGUGGACGUAUACGGUGUGACGCCUGCCCGGUGCCGGAAGGUUAAUUGAUGGGGUUAGCCGCAAGGCGAAGCUCUUGAUCGAAGCCCCGGUAAACGGCGGCCGUAACUAUAACGGUCCUAAGGUAGCGAAAUUCCUUGUCGGGUAAGUUCCGACCUGCACGAAUGGCGUAAUGAUGGCCAGGCUGUCUCCACCCGAGACUCAGUGAAAUUGAACUCGCUGUGAAGAUGCAGUGUACCCGCGGCAAGACGGAAAGACCCCGUGAACCUUUACUAUAGCUUGACACUGAACAUUGAGCCUUGAUGUGUAGGAUAGGUGGGAGGCUUUGAAGUGUGGACGCCAGUCUGCAUGGAGCCGACCUUGAAAUACCACCCUUUAAUGUUUGAUGUUCUAACGUUGACCCGUAAUCCGGGUUGCGGACAGUGUCUGGUGGGUAGUUUGACUGGGGCGGUCUCCUCCUAAAGAGUAACGGAGGAGCACGAAGGUUGGCUAAUCCUGGUCGGACAUCAGGAGGUUAGUGCAAUGGCAUAAGCCAGCUUGACUGCGAGCGUGACGGCGCGAGCAGGUGCGAAAGCAGGUCAUAGUGAUCCGGUGGUUCUGAAUGGAAGGGCCAUCGCUCAACGGAUAAAAGGUACUCCGGGGAUAACAGGCUGAUACCGCCCAAGAGUUCAUAUCGACGGCGGUGUUUGGCACCUCGAUGUCGGCUCAUCACAUCCUGGGGCUGAAGUAGGUCCCAAGGGUAUGGCUGUUCGCCAUUUAAAGUGGUACGCGAGCUGGGUUUAGAACGUCGUGAGACAGUUCGGUCCCUAUCUGCCGUGGGCGCUGGAGAACUGAGGGGGGCUGCUCCUAGUACGAGAGGACCGGAGUGGACGCAUCACUGGUGUUCGGGUUGUCAUGCCAAUGGCACUGCCCGGUAGCUAAAUGCGGAAGAGAUAAGUGCUGAAAGCAUCUAAGCACGAAACUUGCCCCGAGAUGAGUUCUCCCUGACUCCUUGAGAGUCCUGAAGGAACGUUGAAGACGACGACGUUGAUAGGCCGGGUGUGUAAGCGCAGCGAUGCGUUGAGCUAACCGGUACUAAUGAACCGUGAGGCUUAACCUU
rnacentral:rRNA from 1 species